rnacentral:rRNA from 1 species
AUGCUAUUACUUGGACCCUCACCAUCAACGGGGCAUACUUGGUGGCCUUCCCGCAUACAAGGUACAAUUCGAGGACCAUACCCACCACCAUGGUCCUUGCUGUUUGGAGCAACUGGGCGCCACCCAAAUGCAAAUUCUUUGCGUGGCUUGUCAUCAAGAACCGAGUGUGGACAGUGGACUGCGGACCGCCUUCACAGGAGGGGAUGGCCCAGCUGUGGCCUUUGCCAGCUUUGCAAAAGAGAGCCUGAAACUGCGGCGCACAUCGUCUUCAGGUGCAAGUACUUCCUCAGAAUAUGGUCGGCCAUUAAGGGUUGGUUCGAUGCUCUGGAGUUAGACAUUGCGAGCUGGGGAGGCAUCCGCACGGUUCAAGCAUGGUAGACGGCGACGGUUCAGAAGCAUGGCCACAGGAGAAAGGCCAUCUCAUCGCUUCUCAUGCUUGUCACUUGGGAGGUGUGGAACGAAAGGAAUGCAAUGGUUUUCCGCAACAAAUCGACCAUGCCAACCACUCUGGUCGAUAAUAUCAAGGCCGGAGCUAGAAUUAGGCCAUCGCGGGGCCCAAGCAUUUGA